UCCAGCAAAGAGCAUUGCCUGUUUGAGAAAAUGUCAUGUUCCAGAAAAUAUUGAUUCAAAAAAGACUGAUGGACCAUCUGAAUGAAUAUGGAAGAAGUUUAAUUUUAACAAAUGCACUCGUGCUGAAGAUGGAGGAGAAAGAAUUUCAGAAAUAGAGGUCACAUUAAAAACAUGCAGAAGCAUGAAAAUUGUUACCAUAUUUCAAUUGCAACUGUAUUUUCUCCCCCUCUAAGGAAACAAGGCCUUCUGUAUUUUUGUUGCAUCUUUGACUAUUUGGUGCAGAGUUUCCUUUGAGAAAUGGGAUGUUGCAAGACUUUCGCUCCUCAGGAGUUUACCACUAUCAAGUGUCCUAGUGUGUCUGGAGUUGAUUCCUUCCAGUGGGUUCCUCGUCUCACUGACUUCAAAGAAUGAAGCCACUGACUUCGUGGUGUUACAGCUCUUAAAGUUGGUGCAGAUCCAAACACUGAGCAACAGCAAGAGUUGUCACAAAGAGCGAAAAAACAAAUCCUCCACACUCGGCAAGGGUACACGAACCUGCUGCAAGGUGCUAGCUCAGGUGGCCAGCUUUUAUUCCCUUAUUUGGCCCUGCCCACAUCCUGCUGAUUGGUCCACUUUACAG
rnacentral:lncRNA from 1 species